UGGUUAUUUACUAGCUCUCUGCAACUCUCACAUGGUCACCCACUGAAGCAAAGCAGGGCUGCACCCGGUCAGUACCUGGAUGGGAGACCACAUGGGAAAGCUAGGUUGCUGGCUGC
rnacentral:rRNA from 1 species